GACGAACGCUGGCGGCGUGCUUAACACAUGCAAGUCGAACGGAAAGGCCCUGCUUUUGUGGGGUGCUCGAGUGGCGAACGGGUGAGUAACACGUGAGUAACCUGCCCUUGACUUUGGGAUAACUUCAGGAAACUGGGGCUAAUACCGGAUAGGAGCUCCUGCUGCAUGGUGGGGGUUGGAAAGUUUCGGCGGUUGGGGAUGGACUCGUAGCUUAUCAGCUUGUUGGUGGGGUAGUGGCUUACCAAGGCUUUGACGGGUAGCCGGCCUGAGAGGGUGACCGGCCACAUUGGGACUGAGAUACGGCCCAGACUCCUACGGGAGGCAGCAGUGGGGAAUAUUGCACAAUGGGCGGAAGCCUGAUGCAGCAACGCCGCGUGCGGGAUGACGGCCCUCGGGUUGUAAACCGCUUUCGCCUGUGACGAAGCGUGAGUGACGGUAAUGGGUAAAGAAGCACCGGCUAACUACGUG
rnacentral:rRNA from 1 species